CCUACGGGAGGCAGCAGUGGGGGAUCUUGCGCUAAUGCGCGAAAGCGUGACGCAGCGACGCCGCGUGGGGGAUGAAGGCCCUCGGGUCGUAAACCCCUUUCGCCAGGGAAGAAGCGAAAGUGACGGUACCUGGAGAAGAAGUCCCGGCUAACUACGUGCCAGCAGCCGCGGUAACACGUAGGGGACGAGCGUUGUCCGGAAUCAUUGGGCGUAAAGCGCGCGUAGGCGGCCCGGAGAGUCGGUUGUGAAAUCCUGGGGCUCAACCCCAGGACUGCGUCCGAUACUUCCGGGCUGGAGGCAGGUAGGGGAGAUCGGAAUUCCUGGUGUAGCGGUGAAAUGCGCAGAUAUCAGGAGGAACACCGGUGGCGAAGGCGGAUCUCUGGGCCUUGCCUGACGCUGAGGCGCGAAAGCUAGGGGAGCGAACAGGAUUAGAUACCCGG
rnacentral:rRNA from 1 species